CCUCCGGGGGGCUGCAGUGGGGAAUAUUGGACAAUGGGGGGAACCCUGAUCCAGCCAUGCCGCGUGUGUGAAGAAGGCCUUUUGGUUGUAAAGCACUUUAAGCGAGGAGGAGGCUACCGAGAUUAAUACUCUUGGGUAGUGGACGUUACUCGCAGAAUAAGCACCUGCUAACUCUGUGCCAGCAGCCGCGGUAAUACAGAGGGUGCAAGCGUUAAUCGGAUUUACUGGGCGUAAAGCGCGCGUAGGUGGCCAAUUAAGUCAAAUGUGAAAUCCCCGAGCUUAACUUGGGAAUUGCAUUCGAGACUAGUUGGCUAGAGUAUGGGAGAGGAUGGUAGAAUUCCAGGUGUAGCGGUGAAAUGCGUAGAGAUCUGGAGGAAUACCGAUGGCGAAGGCAGCCAUCUGGCCUAAUACUGACACUGAGGUGCGAAAGCAUGGGGAGCAAACAGGAUUAGAUACCCUAGUAGUC
rnacentral:rRNA from 1 species